CGGAACUUCUCCAGAACCUCCAGAACUUCUCCAGAACCACCAGGAACCUCCAGAACCGCUGCCAGGACCCCUCUGGAUCCAUCCCACGGCCUCCAGAACCUCCAGAACUUCUCCAGAACCUCCGGAACUUCUCCAGAACCUCCGGAACUUCUCCCAGGACCCCUCUGGAUCCAUCCCAAAGCUUCCAGAACCAUCCAGAACCAUCAGGAACCUCCAGAACUUCUCCCAGGACCUCUCUGGAUCCAUCCCAAGGCAUCCAGAACCUCUGGAACUUCUCCAGAACCACCAGGAACCUCCAGAACCGCUGCCAGGACCCCUCUGGAUCCACCCCAAGGCUUCCAGAACCAUCCAGAAGCGGGGGAAGCUCCGGAGCCGCUCCAGGGACUCGUCCGGAGCUCUCCCGGCGUCUCCGGGUGGGAUUUUAAGCUUCACUCGCGUCUAUUUUUAAGCUCAGAUGGUUUCAAAGAUAUUUUUUUAAAAUCCUUGUCCACGGAAAACCUUCGGGAAUUUUUUCCUUUGGGAAUUUUUUCCUUCGGGAAUUUUUUUGGGAAUUUUUUAUUCUUUGGGGAAUUUUUUUCUUUGGGAAUUUUUUUCUUUGGGAAUUUUUUAUUCUUUGGGAAUUUUUUUUUUCCUUUGGGAAUUUUUUAUUCUUUGGGAAUUUUUUUUUUCCUUUGGGAAUUUUUUUCUUCUUUGGGAAUUUUGGAUCUUCCUCCCCUCCCCUGGAGUUUGUGAAUCCCAAAAUGGGAUUUUUUAUUUUUAUUUUUUAUUUUUAUUUGAUAUUUAUUUGAUAUUUAUUUAUUUUUAUUUUAUUUGAUAUUUAUUUUUAUUUGAUAUUUAUUUUUAUUUGAUAUUUAUUUAUUUUAAUUUUUAUUUUAUAUUUAUUUUUAUUUAAUAUUUAUUUUUGUUUGAUAUUUAUUUUUAUUUGAUAUUUAUUUUUAUUUGAUAUUUAUUUUUAAUUGAUAUUUAUUUUUAAUUGAUAUUUAUUUUUA
rnacentral:lncRNA from 1 species